rnacentral:rRNA from 1 species
AAAGGAAUUGACGGGGGCCCGCACAAGCGGAGGAACAUGUGGUUUAAUUCGAUGAUACGCGAGGAACCUUACCCGGGCUUGAAAUGUGCAUGACAGCGGACAGAGACGUCCGCUUCCUUCGGGCAUGCAUGUAGGUGCUGCAUGGUUGUCGUCAGCUCGUGCCGUGAGGUGUCGGCUUAAGUGCCAUAACGAGCGCAACCCUUACCGCCGGUUACCAUCGGGUUAUGCCGGGGACUCCGGCGGCACUGCCAUCGCAAGAUGCGAGGAAGGCGGGGAUGACGUCAAAUCAGCACGGCCCUUACGUCCGGGGCCACACACGUGUUACAAUGGGGGGCACAGAAAGCCGGUCGGUGGCGACACCGAUCCAAUCCUCAAAUCCCCUCCCAGUUCGGACUGGAGUCUGCAACCCGACUCCACGAAGCUGGAUUCGCUAGUAAUCGCGCAUCAGCCAUGGCGCGGUGAAUACGUUCCCGGGCCUUGUACACACCGCCCGU